rnacentral:rRNA from 1 species
CAAUAGCGUAUAUUAAAGUUGUUGCAGUUAAAAAGCUCGUAGUUGGAUUUCUGGUCGGAAGCUCCUGUCCUCUGAUGAGCGUACAAGUGCGUCCUACCAUCCUUCUGUUAACCUUUAAGGCUUUCGCGGCUUUCUAGGGGCUCAGAUAUUUUACCUUGAGAAAAUUAGAGUGUUUCAGGCAGGCUAGCGCCGGAAUACAUUAGCAUGGAAUAAUGGAAUAGGACUUUUGCCUCUUCUGUUGGUCAUGAGGCUCGAGUAAUGAUUAAUAGGGAUAGUUGGGGGCAUUAGUACUUAACUGUCAGAGGUGAAAUUCUCGGAUUUGUUAAAGACUAACUUAUGCGAAAGCAUUUGCCAAGGAUGUUUUCAUUG